rnacentral:lncRNA from 10 species
CACCCCUCGCCCAGCGGCCGCGACGCUAUGGCGCACUGGAGUACCCUGUUCCUGGCAGGGAGGAACAGGAAGAGAAGAGUGUGGCCUCCUAGAAAUCUAGCACGGAGAAAGACUGGUCUUGAACUCCUGACCUCGUGAUACUCAGCCUCCCAAAGUGCUGGGAUUACAGGAGUGAACCACCAAGCCCGGCUUGACCUCUUGGCUUUUACCAAAGGAUGUUUGCUUCUGAGGAAGCUGGAAGCUGCAGCCACAAUGUGCCUUUGCAGGGGAGCCUGAGAGCCACAGAUGUUAAGGAGAACUGCAAACCACUGUUCAAUGAAAUAAAAGAGAAUACAAACAAAUGGAACAACAUUCCACGCUCAUGGGUUGGAAGAAUCAAUAUCGUGAAAAUGGCCAUACUGCCCAAGGUAAUUUAUAGAUUCAAUGCCAUCCCCAUCAAGCUACCAAUGACUUUCUUCACAGAAUUGGAAAAAACUACUUUAAAGUUCAUAUGGAACAAAAAAGAGCCCGCAUCGCCAAGUCAAUCCUAAGCCAAAAGAACAAAGCCAGAGGCAUCAUGCUACCUGACUUCAAACUAUACUACAAGGCUACAAUAACCAAAACAGCAUGGUACUGGUACCAAAACAGAGAUAUAGAUCAAUGGAACAGAACAGAGUCCUCAGAAAUAACACCACAUAUCUACAACCAUCUGAUCUUUGACAAACCUGACAAAAACAAGCAGUGGGGAAAGGAUUCCCUAUUUAAUAAAUGGUGCUGGGAAAACUGGCUAGUCAUAUGUAGAAAGCUGAAACUGGA